GGUCCCGUGGCUCAAUUGGUAGAGCGUCAGACUUCUAAUCUGAAGGUCGUGGGUUCGACCCCCACCGGGAUCU